rnacentral:rRNA from 1 species
UAUAUCAGUUAUAGUUUAUUUGAUGAAGAAUACUAAUUGGAUAACCGUAGUAAUUCUAGAGCUAAUACAUGUAUAAAGUCUUGUAGACUGCAUUUAUUAGAAUGAAAACCAUAGGUUUCGGCCUAUUCGUGAGUAAUAAUAACUAAUCAUAUCGUAUGCUUAAGUAACGAUGUGUCUUUCAAGUUUCUGCCCUAUCAGCUUUCGAUGGUAGUGUAUUGGACUACCAUG